rnacentral:rRNA from 1 species
AGACGUCUACAUUAGAUACCCGUGUAGUCCCAGCCGUAAACUAUGCGCGUUAGGUGUAUCGGUGACCACGAGUUACCGAGGUGCCGAAGGGAAACCGUGAAACGUGCCGCCUGGGAAGUACGGUCGCAAGGCUAGAAACUUAAAGGAAUUGGCGGGGAGCACCACAACAGGUGGAGCCUGCGGUUUAAUUGGACUCAACGCCGGGAAGCUCACCGGAUAGGACAGCAGAAUGAUUGCCGGGCUGAAGACCCUGCAUGACUAGCUG